rnacentral:rRNA from 1 species
UUGGAGGGCAAGUCUGGUGCCAGCAGCCGCGGUAAUUCCAGCUCCAAUAGCGUAUAUUAAAGUUGUUGCAGUUAAAAAGCUCGUAGUUGAAUUUCGGGAUUAGUACGUCGGUCGUGCCUUAGGUACGUACUGGUGUUACUGGUUCCUACCUUCUGACGAACCAUCAUGUCAUUAAUUUGGUGUGGUGGGGAAUCAGGACUGUUACUUUGAAAAAAUUAGAGUGUUUAAAGCAGGCUCGCGCUUGAAUACAUUAGCAUGGAAUAAUGAAAUAGGACGUUGAUCCUAUUUUGUUGGUUUCUAGGAUUGACGUAAUGAUUAAUAGGGAUAGUUGGGGGCAUUAGUAUUCAAUUGUCAGAGGUGAAAUUCUUGGAUUUAUUGAAGACUAACUACUGCGAAAGCAUUUGCCAAGGAUGUUUUCAUUAAUCAAGAACGAAAGUUAGGGGAUCGAAGACGAUCAGAUACCGUCGUAGUCUUAACCAUAAACUAUGCCGAUUAGGGAUCGGACGGCGUUAUUUUUUGACCCGUUCGGCGCCUUACGGGAAAC